rnacentral:rRNA from 1 species
AUUGAACGCUGGCGGCAUGCCUUACACAUGCAAGUCGAACGGUAACGGGUCCUUCGGGAUGCCGACGAGUGGCGAACGGGUGAGUAAUAUAUCGGAACGUGCCCAGUAGUGGGGGAUAACUGCUCGAAAGAGCAGCUAAUACCGCAUACGACCUGAGGGUGAAAGGGGGGGAUCGCAAGACCUCUCGCUAUUGGAGCGGCCGAUAUCAGAUUAGCUAGUUGGUGGGGUAAAGGCCUACCAAGGCAACGAUCUGUAGUUGGUCUGAGAGGACGACCAGCCACACUGGGACUGAGACACGGCCCAGACUCCUACAGGAGGCAGCAGUGGGGAAUUUUGGACAAUGGGCGCAAGCCUGAUCCAGCAAUGCCGCGUGCAGGAAGAAGGCCUUCGGGUUGUAAACUGCUUUUGUCAGGGAAGAAAUCUUCUGGGCUAAUACCCCGGGAGGAUGACGGUACCUGAAGAAUAAGCACCGGCUAACUACGUGCCAGCAGCCGCAGUAA